rnacentral:tRNA from 1 species
GGCACUAUGCCGGAGUGGUCUAACGGCGGGAUCUGCAAAGUCUUCGCUCGUGGGUUCGAAUCCCACUGGUGCCUCCA